UUCUCUGUACUCACCUGCCAACCUGUUGAACUCACGCAACAAAAAGUGAAACGUUCACGGUUUAACAUUUACAUUGCGUUAACAUUUAGAGAAUGUACUAUUAGCUAGCUGCCCCUUUACGUAAAUUAGCUAAAUAAGCUGUUUAACGUCGAGUCUUUAUCGACGUACUUUACAAACCUUGUUUAGCGUUACCUGUCUGUAACUAAGCAGCCGGCGAUCCUCUUCAACAUUUAUGAGAUGCCGAGGGGUCAGGGCGAGUUGAAUCCCAUGUCAGAAGUGUCCCCACGUUGACCUGCGCCUGACUGGCCUCCCAGCAAAAAGCCCCUGUGAAGAAGGCGAAGAGGCUGAUCUGAAGGUGAAAAACAUCCUCCUCCUCCCUCCUCCUCCUCCCAGCUGAACAUCUGUCUCCGAGUGUUGGCUGCAGCACCGACUCUGACACCUCCAGAUGGAGAGCCCGCUGGGAGCGCUGAGGUAUUACCCACAGAGAUGGCAGGGAUCACACCUCAGGAGUGAAGCCCCCCACACUUGUUUUCUGCACUGUCCCCUCUCUUUUUUUGUUGUUGAAUCUGUCACUUUUCACUGUGGCUAUUGUCACCUCCACAGUCCUUGGCCUUGUGACUCAUCUGAAGAGCUUCUGCUGUUGUAAAGAAAAUGCAUUGACAACAAACCCGCUCAGCCUUUUUUUUCCAAUUUACAGUAAUGGGCCGUAUGCUAUUUCAACUGUAACUUCUAUUAGUGGAGCUGUAUUAAUUUUUAAUAUAGUUGUGUGAGAACUGCAUACUCAUGCAUAUAUAUUUCAAAUCAUUGCAGAUUUCCAUUCCC